CUCGGUGCGCCUGAAUCCUCGUUAAUUGGAACGAUACAGAGAGGGUUAACGUGGCCCCUGCGCAAGGAUGAAACGGACAAAUCGAGAAGCGCACAAGCCUUUA
rnacentral:snRNA from 1 species